ensembl:lncRNA
GCACCAGCAGAGAGGAGAUGGAGACCCCCGACCCGAGGUCCUCCACCCCCGGGUGCGCCUAGAUAUCCUGUCCAUGAAAGUCACCAACUGGAGAGUCAAAAGCCUUCUAAAGCAGCGGAAAGAGAAGGAAGAGGACAGAUAAAAAAAAAUGCGUAAUGCCGCAUCUGUCAGCAGAGGAUGAAGUUGACAAAGAAGGAGGACAGAGACCAUUACAGCUGAUUUGCACAGGGCCUUCGUCUCAGACAGGUUGAUAUGGUGGAGGACGAUAUUGCUGCAACCCUCUCCAAGAUGGGCACAAAACUAAGGAAGGUCUGCAGACGGGCUGUUGAGAGGACGAGACGACAAAAAGGACAAAAAGGACGGCUCAUCGGUGGACGGCGGCAAUUUGUUGUAAUUGAUGAGUCAUUUCCGCCAUAAGAGAAAGUAUGGGAGAGGAAGAAUGGGUGGCAUGGAGAAGACGGAAAUGGGUCUUCGGCGUGCUUGGUGUGCAGCAGCAGAGGAGCAAGAGAGCGAAGCCGGUGCUGCGCCUUGUAGAAAGAAGAGGACCUUGUGCCACUGAAUGCACAUCAUGUCAGGAUAGGAUCAAACAUCAUUAGUGAUGAAUGGCGUGCUUAUCGUUCCCUGCAUGCACUUGGCUACAAUCAUAUGACUGAAUCAUGCAAGGUGGCAUGUAGAUGCCCAAACAGGUGCCCACACACAGCACAUAGAAAGAGGCGUAGCAUUAAGGAGCAAGUGUGGAGGCAAAGAGGUAAUCAAAGCGAAUGCUUUGUGUCUGACCAUCUUUGUCUUAUAGAGGGACUCAAUGGCUAAGCAGGAACACAGAGACGGUCCUCUUGGUAGGACACUACAUGAUGUAGCUAACAGGUACAGGGUGGAGGCUAC